CCUAGCGCACGCAUCUACAUGCAAGUCGAGCGAACAGACGAGGAGCUUGCUCCUCUGACGUUAGCGGCGGACGGGUGAGUAACACGUGGAUAACCUACCUAUAAGACUGGGAUAACUUCGGGAAACCGGAGCUAAUACCGGAUAAUAUAUUGAACCGCAUGGUUCAAUAGUGAAAGACGGUUUUGCUGUCACUUAUAGAUGGAUCCGCGCCGCAUUAGCUAGUUGGUAAGGUAACGGCUUACCAAGGCAACGAUGCGUAGCCGACCUGAGAGGGUGAUCGGCCACACUGGAACUGAGACACGGUCCAGACUCCUACGGGAGGCAGCAGUAGGGAAUCUUCCGCAAUGGGCGAAAGCCUGACGGAGCAACGCCGCGUGAGUGAUGAAGGUCUUCGGAUCGUAAAACUCUGUUAUUAGGGAAGAACAAAUGUGUAAGUAACUAUGCACGUCUUGACGGUACCUAAUCAGAAAGCCACGGCUAACUACGUGCCAGCAGCCGCGGUAAUACGUAGGUGGCAAGCGUUAUCCGGAAUUAUUGGGCGUAAAGCGCGCGUAGGCGGUUUUUUAAGUCUGAUGUGAAAGCCCACGGCUCAACCGUGGAGGGUCAUUGGAAACUGGAAAACUUGAGUGCAGAAGAGGAAAGUGGAAUUCCAUGUGUAGC
rnacentral:rRNA from 1 species